rnacentral:rRNA from 1 species
UUGACCUCGAAUCAGGUAGGACUACCCGCUGAACUUAAGCAUAUCAAUAAGCGGAGGAAAAGAAACCAACAGGGAUUGCCCCAGUAACGGCGAGUGAAGCGGCAACAGCUCAAAUUUGAAAUCUGGCCCUCGGGUCCGAGUUGUAAUUUAUAGAGGAUGCUUUUGGCGAGGUGCCUUCCGAGUUCCCUGGAACGGGACGCCACAGAGGGUGAGAGCCCCGUAUGGUCGGACACCGAGCCUCUGUAAAGCUCCUUCGACGAGUCGAGUAGUUUGGGAAUGCUGCUCAAAAUGGGAGGUAUAUGUCUUCUAAAGCUAAAUAUUGGCCAGAGACCGAUAGCGCACAAGUAGAGUGAUCGAAAGAUGAAAAG